rnacentral:rRNA from 1 species
GAUAAACGCUGGCGGCGUGCCUAACACAUGCAAGUCGAACGCCCUUUUGCGCAAGUGAGAGGGAGUGGCGGACGGGUGAGUACCACGUGGGUACCUACCUUGAGGUGAGGAAUACCACCGAGAAAUCGGUGACAAGACCGCAUACGCUUGGCAACAAGCAAAGUCUCGCAAGAGACGCCACAGGAUGGGCCUGCGCCUGAUUAGCUAGUUGGUGAGGUAAUGGCUCACCAAGGCGACGAUCAGUAGCUGGUCUGAGAGGAUGAUCAGCCACACUGGGAUUGAGAACGGCCCAGACUCCGUACGGGG